UACGUAGGGUGCGAGCGUUGCCCGGAUUUAUUGGGCGUAAAGGGCGCGUAGGCGGCCACGCACGUCCGUUGUGAAAUCGCCCGGCUCAACUGGGCGGGGUCAGCGGAUACGGUGUGGCUCGAGCAAGCUAGGGGGCAAUGGAAUUCCCGGUGUAGUGGUGGAAUGCGCAGAUAUCAGGAGGAACACCGGUGGCGAAGGCGGUUCUCUGGGCAUGUCCUGACGCUGAGGAGCGAAAGCGUGGGGAGCGAACAGG
rnacentral:rRNA from 1 species